rnacentral:rRNA from 1 species
GUCUAUGGCCAUGCCACCCUGAACGUGCCUGAUCUCAUCUGAUCCUGGAAGCUAAGCAGGGUCAGGCCUCAUUAGUACUUGGAUGGGAGACCACCUAGGAAUACCAGGUGCUGUAGGAU